UACGGGGGGGGUAAGCGUUGUUCGGAAUUACUGGGCGUAAAGGGUUCGUAGGCGGUGCGGCAAGUUGGGCGUGAAAUCUCUGAGCUUAACCCAGAGGCUGCUUUCAAAACUGCCGUGCUCGAGUGCGAGAGAGGUCAGUGGAAUUGCAGGUGUAGCGGUGAAAUGCGUAGAUAUCUGCAGGAACACCCGUGGCGAAGGCGGCUGACUGGAUCGCAACUGACGCUGAGGAACGAAAGCUAGGGGAGCAAACAGG
rnacentral:rRNA from 1 species